rnacentral:rRNA from 1 species
UUGACCUCGGAUCAGGCAGGGAUACCCGCUGAACUUAAGCAUAUCAAUAAGCGGAGGAAAAGAAACCAACAGGGAUUGCCUCAGUAACGGCGAGUGAAGCGGCAACAGCUCAAAUUUGAAAUCUGGCUCUUUUAGGGUCCGAGUAGUAAUUUGUAGAGGAUGCUUCGGCGUGGGCUCCGGUCUAAGUACCUUGGAACAGGACGUCAUAGAGGGUGAGAAUCCCGUAUGUGAUCGGUUGCCUUUGCCAUGUGAAGCUCCUUCGACGAGUCGAGUUGUUUGGGAAUGCAGCUCUACAUGGGAGGUAAAUUGUCUUCUAAAGCUAGANACUGGCCAGAGAUCGAUAGCGCACAAGUAGAGUGAUCGAAUGAUGACAAGCACUUUGGAAAGAGAGUCAAAUAAGUACGUGAAAUUUGUUGAAAGGGAAACGCUAAGAUAAUANAA